UGUCACGUAAAGGUACUCUGAAGCCAGCUC
rnacentral:piRNA from 1 species